rnacentral:rRNA from 1 species
UACGUAGGCAGCAAGCGUUGUUCGGAGUUACUGGGCGUAAAGGGUGCGUAGGCGGCUCUAUAAGUAUGGUGUGAAAUCUCCCGGCUUAACUGGGAGGGUGCGCCGUAGACUGUGGGGCUAGAGUGUGGGAGAGGAAAGCGGAAUUCCUGGUGUAGCGGUGAAAUGCGUAGAUAUCAGGAGGAACACCGGUGGUGUAAACGGCUUUCUGGACCAUAACUGACGCUGAGGCACGAAAGCGUGGGUAGCAAACAGG